UACGAAGGGGGCUAGCGUUGCUCGGAAUUACUGGGCGUAAAGCGCAUGUAGGCGGCGAUUCAAGUUAGAUGUGAAAGGCCUGGGCUCAACCCGGGAACUGCAUUUGAUACUGAAUUGCUAGAGUCCAAGAGAGGGUAGUGGAAUUCCCAGUGUAGAGGUGAAAUUCGUAGAUAUUGGGAAGAACACCAGUGGCGAAGGCGGCUACCUGGCUUGGUACUGACGCUCAGAUGCGAAAGCGUGGGGAGCAAACAGGG
rnacentral:rRNA from 1 species